AAAAUCUUAGAAAUAAAAUGAAAACGGGCUUGCCAGUCUAAAUGGGUGUGCGGGAAGGGGGGCAAAGAACAGGAAUUUUCUGUGUAUUUUCCUAUGUACCCGUGUUUCAGAGCUUGGGAGUCUGUGAAAUGUAAGACUGGUGUCAUCGUUUCAUAAAUCAUGAAUUUUCCACAUUCCUUAAUAGAGAGGAGCCCAAUUGGGUAUGGAUUUUUUUUUUUUUUAACAAACUGCUUAAAAAAGCCUUUUGAAGUUUCAAAAGACUUGGGAGAGAAGGGAAAAAUGAUUAAACAGCACUUACCAACUUCAAAAA
rnacentral:lncRNA from 1 species